rnacentral:rRNA from 1 species
AUUGAACGCUGGCGGCAGGCCUAACACAUGCAAGUCGAACGAGUGGCGGACGGGUGAGUAAUGUCUGGGAAACUGCCCGAUGGAGGGGGAUAACUACUGGAAACGGUAGCUAAUACCGCAUACCAUCGGAUGUGCCCAGAUGGGAUUAGCUAGUAGGUGGGGUAACGGCUCACCGAGGCGACGAUCCCUAGCUGGUCUUAGAGGAUGACCAGCUACACUGGAACUGAGACACGGUCCAGACUCCUACGUGAGGCAGCAGGGGGGAAGAUUGCACAAUGGGCGCAAGCCUGAUGCAGCCAUGCCGCGUGGAUGAAGAAGGCCGUCUGGUUGUAAAGUACUUUCAGCGAGGAGGCGUUACUCGCAGAAGAAGCACCGGCUAACUCCGUGCCAGCAGCCGCGGGAAUUC